GGUUAAGCGACUAAGCGUACACGGUGGAUGCCCUGGCAGUCAGAGGCGAUGAAGGGCGUGCUAAUCUGCGAUAAGCGCCGGUAAGGUGAUAUGAACCGUUAUAACCGGCGAUACCCGAAUGGGGAAACCCAGUGUGAUUCGUCACACUAUCAUUAACUGAAUCCAUAGGUUAAUGAGGCGAACCGGGGGAACUGAAACAUCUAAGUACCCCGAGGAAAAGAAAUCAACCGAGAUUCCCCCAGUAGCGGCGAGCGAACGGGGAGGAGCCCAGAGCCUGAAUCAGCAUGUGUGUUAGUGGAAGCGUCUGGAAAGGCGCGCGAUACAGGGUGACAGCCCCGUACACAAAAGCGCAUGUGCUGUGAGCUCGAUGAGUAGGGCGGGACACGUGGUAUCCUGUCUGAAUAUGGGGGGACCAUCCUCCAAGGCUAAAUACUCCUGACUGACCGAUAGUGAACCAGUACCGUGAGGGAAAGGCGAAAAGAACCCCGGCGAGGGGAGUGAAAAAGAACCUGAAACCGUGUACGUACAAGCAGUGGGAGCCCCACCACCAAAGCAUUCUCUGGUGUUGAAGGCCCUGCAAAGCAGCAUCGCGGUGGCGGAGCGUCGUUUGCGACGCCCAACACACAAAACAAGCGGUGAGUGCUUUGGGGUGGGGUGACUGCGUACCUUUUGUAUAAUGGGUCAGCGACUUAUAUUCUGUAGCAAGGUUAACCGAAUAGGGGAGCCGGAGGGAAACCGAGUCUUAAUUGGGCGUUAAGUUGCAGGGUAUAGACCCGAAACCCGGUGAUCUAGCCAUGGGCAGGUUGAAGGUUGGGUAACACUAACUGGAGGACCGAACCGACUAAUGUUGAAAAAUUAGCGGAUGACCUGUGGCUGGGGGUGAAAGGCCAAUCAAACCGGGAGAUAGCUGGUUCUCCCCGAAAGCUAUUUAGGUAGCGCCUCGUGAAUUCAUCUCCGGGGGUAGAGCACUGUUUCGGCUAGGGGGCCAUCCCGGCUUACCAACCCGAUGCAAACUGCGAAUACCGGAGAAUGUUAUCACGGGAGACACACGGCGGGUGCUAACGUCCGUCGUGAAGAGGGAAACAACCCAGACCGCCAGCUAAGGUCCCAAAGUCAUGGUUAAGUGGGAAACGAUGUGGGAAGGCCCAGACAGCCAGGAUGUUGGCUUAGAAGCAGCCAUCAUUUAAAGAAAGCGUAAUAGCUCACUGGUCGAGUCGGCCUGCGCGGAAGAUGUAACGGGGCUAAACCAUGCACCGAAGCUGCGGCAGCGACACUCAGGUGUUGUUGGGUAGGGGAGCGUUCUGUAAGCCUGCGAAGGUGGCCUGUGAGGGUUGCUGGAGGUAUCAGAAGUGCGAAUGCUGACAUAAGUAACGAUAAAGCGGGUGAAAAGCCCGCUCGCCGGAAGACCAAGGGUUCCUGUCCAACGUUAAUCGGGGCAGGGUGAGUCGACCCCUAAGGCGAGGCCGAAAGGCGUAGUCGAUGGGAAACGGGUUAAUAUUCCCGUACUUGGUGUUACUGCGAAGGGGGGACGGAGAAGGCUAUGUUGGCCGGGCGACGGUUGUCCCGGUUUAAGCGUGUAGGUGUGUGUUCCAGGUAAAUCCGGUUCACUUUAACACUGAGGCGUGAUGACGAGGCACUACGGUGCUGAAGCAACAAAUGCCCUGCUUCCAGGAAAAGCCUCUAAGCAUCAGGUAACAUCAAAUCGUACCCCAAACCGACACAGGUGGUCAGGUAGAGAAUACCAAGGCGCUUGAGAGAACUCGGGUGAAGGAACUAGGCAAAAUGGUGCCGUAACUUCGGGAGAAGGCACGCUGACACGUAGGUGAAGUGAUUUACUCAUGGAGCUGAAGUCAGUCGAAGAUACCAGCUGGCUGCAACUGUUUAUUAAAAACACAGCACUGUGCAAACACGAAAGUGGACGUAUACGGUGUGACGCCUGCCCGGUGCCGGAAGGUUAAUUGAUGGGGUCAGCGCAAGCGAAGCUCCUGAUCGAAGCCCCGGUAAACGGCGGCCGUAACUAUAACGGUCCUAAGGUAGCGAAAUUCCUUGUCGGGUAAGUUCCGACCUGCACGAAUGGCGUAAUGAUGGCCAGGCUGUCUCCACCCGAGACUCAGUGAAAUUGAACUCGCUGUGAAGAUGCAGUGUACCCGCGGCAAGACGGAAAGACCCCGUGAACCUUUACUAUAGCUUGACACUGAACAUUGAGCCUUGAUGUGUAGGAUAGGUGGGAGGCUUUGAAGUGUGGACGCCAGUCUGCAUGGAGCCGACCUUGAAAUACCACCCUUUAAUGUUUGAUGUUCUAACGUGGACCCGUAAUCCGGGUUGCGGACAGUGUCUGGUGGGUAGUUUGACUGGGGCGGUCUCCUCCUAAAGAGUAACGGAGGAGCACGAAGGUUGGCUAAUCCUGGUCGGACAUCAGGAGGUUAGUGCAAUGGCAUAAGCCAGCUUGACUGCGAGCGUGACGGCGCGAGCAGGUGCGAAAGCAGGUCAUAGUGAUCCGGUGGUUCUGAAUGGAAGGGCCAUCGCUCAACGGAUAAAAGGUACUCCGGGGAUAACAGGCUGAUACCGCCCAAGAGUUCAUAUCGACGGCGGUGUUUGGCACCUCGAUGUCGGCUCAUCACAUCCUGGGGCUGAAGUAGGUCCCAAGGGUAUGGCUGUUCGCCAUUUAAAGUGGUACGCGAGCUGGGUUUAGAACGUCGUGAGACAGUUCGGUCCCUAUCUGCCGUGGGCGCUGGAGAACUGAGGGGGGCUGCUCCUAGUACGAGAGGACCGGAGUGGACGCAUCACUGGUGUUCGGGUUGUCAUGCCAAUGGCACUGCCCGGUAGCUAAAUGCGGAAGAGAUAAGUGCUGAAAGCAUCUAAGCACGAAACUUGCCCCGAGAUGAGUUCUCCCUGAGACUUAAAGUCUCCUGAAGGAACGUUGAAGACGACGACGUUGAUAGGCCGGGUGUGUAAGCGCAGCGAUGCGUUGAGCUAACCGGUACUAAUGAACCGUGAGGCUUAACCUU
rnacentral:rRNA from 1 species